rnacentral:rRNA from 1 species
CCUACGGGUGGCUGCAGUGAGGAAUAUUGGUCAAUGGGCGCUAGCCUGAACCAGCCAAGUCGCGUGAAGGAUGACUGCCCUACGGGUUGUAAACUUCUUUUAUCAGGGAAUAAAGUGCAGUAUGUGUCCUUCUUUGCAUGUACCUUAUGAAUAAGGAUCGGCUAACUCCGUGCCAGCAGCCGCGGUAAUACGGAGGAUCCGAGCGUUAUCCGGAUUUAUUGGGUUUAAAGGGAGCGUAGGCGGGUUGUUAAGUCAGUUGUGAAAGUUUGCGGCUCAACCGUAAAAUUGCAGUUGAUACUGGCAGCCUUGAGUACAGUAGAGGUAGGCGGAAUUCGUGGUGUAGCGGUGAAAUGCGUAGAUAUCACGAAGAACUCCGAUUGCGAAGGCAGCCUACUGGACUGUAACUGACGCUGAUGCUCGAAAGUGUGGGUAUCAAACAGGAUUAGAUACCCCUGUAGUC